rnacentral:RNase_P_RNA from 2 species
GCGGGGGAAUGCACGGUCGCGCCCAGGAGACUGGGUGAGGAAAGUCCGGGCACCGCAGGGUAAGGAUGCCAGCUAACGGCUGGUCGGCGAGUCGAGCACCCACACCGGCGUCUUCAGGUGCGGGCAGCGGCGAAGUCGAAGGACAGUGCCACAGAAACCAGACCGCCGCGCUCCGGCGCAAGCGACGCCCCGGCGCGGGCGGGAGCGCGGUCAGGGUGAAACGGUGCGGUAAGAGCGCACCAGGCCCCCCGGAGACGGGGAGCGCUGGUAAACCCCAUCCGGUGCAAGACCCGACAGUGCGCGAGGGCGGCCCGCCCGUUGACCGCCAGGAUGGUCGCUUGAGGCGUGUGGCGACACCCGUCCCAGAGAGAUGACCGCGCAGCCACGCGAGUGGUGGACAGAACCCGGCUUACAGUUCCCCCGCACCA